ACAACAAACACUACACAGUACUGGAACAUGUAUGGCAGAGACGACUGCUGCUACCCUUGCCCGUCAUCAUUACCAAUUGGAUUCAGACAUACACCAUGCCGUGACACUACAGCAAACCUUGCUCUCUGCAACCAUAGCCUUACUUAACUCCUCGCAAGCCAGAAUACAGUUCUGGCGACUCUGAGACUGUCAGAGAGAUAAGAGAGAUGGAAAGAUGCACAUGAAUCCCAAACAGCUCUUUCAGCUCCUCGUCGGCGAUAUAGAAAAAUUAGUCUCGAAAAGGAUGAAUCUGAGGACACGAGUGAAACACACACCAUUCGCUCAACCUGUCAGCUUGAAACGGGUCAAUAAUGUUCAGGCAGAGGCUCAUGGGAAACUCCUCGCUCCUAGAUUAUUUACCACUUUUCUCCACAAACCGAUGGUGUCGAUUCUGCAACGCACUUAGUGGCCUUGUUUAUUUCUCUCUGCUGUUUCAAAUGGCAGUAUCAUAACAAUGUGGUGGGGGGGGGGGGGAAUAAACCAUUUAGCUUAUAAAGCUUAAUGGGAAGACAGAAUUUUUAAGAGUAAUCGAAAUGUAACAUUUAAUAAACAUAUUUGUUAAUAUUUCCUAAAAAUGUAAAAACUGGGAAUUUCUCCUAAAAAUUUAAUUUUAGCACAAACAGAGGUAUGGCAAGACAUUUUCAAUAGACAUUCGUAAGUUACAAUCAAACAGGCCGAACUCCUGGACUAAAUUUAGAAUAGGGCUUGUGUUUGUCUCGUUGUCUUACCUUAUAGUGAAAAUAUGUUAUGGCAUUUAAAGGUUACAAUCAGUGUGACCAACACAUGCAAGUAAAUAAUAUUUUGCAUAAGAAAGGUUUUCACCCGAUAGGCUUUUAGCAAGCUAUGAAUGGCAUCUUAACUCUGUUUACCUUCAAUUACAGAAUAACUAACUAACUAAUGAAUAUGCUGACUUUUAUAUUAACAUACCAGCUCAGCAGCUUUUUUAUAAUAGUUAUGAUCCAGGCAUUUAAAAUUCUCCACAGGAGCUCACCAUCUUGGAUCCUGUGAGGCCAUCCUUGUGUCAGUGACACCGCACAUGCUCACUGUGCUCUGGUGAGUAGCGAACUAAACCUAAGCGUCAUGAGAAAUUAUUUAGUAGAUAUUGAUGUUUGUUUGUCAUAGAAUCUAAUCCUCCAUGGCAGAUUGUUAAAUCCUAAAGCAGGCUUCUGAGUUGUCAUGUAAUGUGAAUCUAAAUUACCUAUAAAUUACUAAUUAGCCUUUUA